UGGCGACGGGUGAGUAACGCGUGGGUAACCUGCCUUACACAGGGGGAUAACACUUAGAAAUAGGUGCUAAUACCGCAUGAGCGCACAGGACCGCAUGGUCGAGUGUGAAAAACUGAGGUGGUGUAAGAUGGACCCGCGUCUGAUUAGCUAGUUGGUGAGGUAACGGCCCACCAAGGCGACGAUCAGUAGCCGGCCUGAGAGGGUGGACGGCCACAUUGGGACUGAGACACGGCCCAAACUCCUACGGAAGGCAGCAG
rnacentral:rRNA from 1 species